rnacentral:sRNA from 1 species
UCCUUGUCAAUGAGUGCUACAUGGGUGG